UUUUUUUUUUUUUUUGAUUUUUAAAUUUCUUUUUAUCUUUUUUUUUUUUUUUUUUUUAGUAUUUCUUGAUCUUUUUGGGGGGGAAAUAUAUAAUUUUAUUACAAUUAUCUAAACUUUAUACACAUCUGUACUAGUAAAUUCCAAGGACUAUGUCCUUGUCCCCCCCACCUUUAUUAAAGAUUUUAUUUUAAAGGACUUUCUUUAUCCAAAACACCUUCAGCUCUGGAGUGAUGAAUUUUGCUGCAGUUUGCAUGGGACUUUUUAUAGUUUUAGCAAUGUAACUCCCACACUCCAAGAAACCCCUCAGUCCUGGGAAAAUCAGGACAGUUGGUGGCUCUAGUUUCACAACACGUAAGGGUGCUUUAAAGUUGCUUUUGGAUGAUGGUGGUGAUUAUAAAUAGGAUCUUUAUCCUUUAUCCUUUUAGAGAGGCUUAAGUCCUCUCUUAGGGAGAAACAGUAGUUCAAUUUCUGUUUCUGUGGGAGCACCUCAAGCGAUGGAGAAACUUUUUCCUCAAACUCAUUUCAUUUUUAGUUUUUUGUCAAAAUUUUAUACACUUCUUUUGCAUUCUUAACUAAAAAUCUGUCUCAGCGAAGCUUCCACCUACUUUUCUUAUUCCAUCCCUUGCUACCAUAUGAAAUGAACUUAAUCUUCUCCCUCAUGUGAUUGCACAGUAAAUAUUUAAAGGAAUCUUUCAUGGCCCCAAUAUAUUCACCUUCAAACUACACAUCUCCUAACCACUCAACAUUUCUCAGAUUCUUUUACCAUGAUUAUUCUUUUCUGAACGCAGUUCAGUUUAGUCAUAUUCAAAUUGUAGCUUCUUAAAUUGUAGCUUCUAGAACUCUAGUCAGCAGAGUAGAGUGGAUAUAUCACCUCCUCUGUCUGGAAUCUAUGCUUGGAAUCUAUGCUUCCUUUAAUUCAGCUUAACAUCUUAGUAUUUUUCUUGGCAGUCAUUAGCUUAGAUUAAGUUCAUAUCUGCUAAAACUUCCAAGCAUUUUUUAAGCUUUUAUUUAUUUUAGUAGUCUCUACACCCAACAAGGGGCUCAAACUCACAGUUCAAAAGUUGCAUGCUAUUCUGAUGGAGUCAGCCAGGUGCCCCUGCCGCAAGCAUUCUUCUUACAUACUUCUGCUAGGUUAUACUGUUUAUAUUCUAUACGUGCAGUUUUUUUUUUUCUAGCUUGAAGUACAGGAUCUUACAUUUAAUUCUGUUAAACUUAGUUUCUUUUAGUUGCCCUCCUUUUAAAAAAAAUUGCUCAUUCUCAACUUUGUUUGAUGAGCAUAUUUUCAUGUCAAUGAUAGAACUGUUAAAGAGACAAGGCCUUAAUUGGCAAUCUUUCUUUAUGGUUGUGUUAAUCUACUAACUAAUUACAAUAAUUUAACCCAUUUGUAGCUAACCUAAUUUACAAAUAAUAAUACAUAUUUUCUUACUUCAUCUCAUACAAAACCAAUGUGAUAGAAAAGCGCAGUCAGCUAUGAUAGAAAAUGCUUUCUGACAAUGAGGUAUUUUCUACUUCUGUGGAAUUUUUCUUUGUCAUAUGCUUUUGGCCAAAGAUGACAUGUCCCACCAUCAUUCUCCACUUUACUUACGGGUUUGGCACUAAGUUUUGGUUAUUAAGGAGAGCCAAUCUUCUCUUAAGGAACAAAGAUUUGGGGCACCUGGGUGGCUCCAAUAGUUAAGAGUCUGACUCUUGAUUUUGGCUGAGGUCAUGAUCUCAGGGUUGUGAAACUGAGCCACACAUUGGGCUCUGUGCUGAACAUGGAGCCUGUUUAAGAUUCUCUCUCUCCCUCUUCCUCAGCAGCCCUCAUCUCUAAAAACAAAAGAACAAAGAUUUGCCCAGGUGAGUUCAAAAGAGGCGCCCUGAAUGGCUUAGGAAUAAACAUACAGUCUUCCAAAUUUAUUCCUUUAAUGGAGACAAUACUUUUUGGAAGCUCAAGGUUUGCUGUGUUUGUCAAACCAUCAGAGACAAUUUAAGCGGGUGGUCAAAUACGCUAGCUUUGGCCUGGUUCAGCUCCUGAUUCUACCACUUGUCAAGUGUUCUACUUUGGGCAAAUAUGUUGAUAUUUUAGCACUGCGCCCAACAUCUAGUGAGAGCUCUAAAAAUAAGAGUAACUACUAUUUAUUAAACAACAUUUUAUGUUAGGUAUUACAUAAAGGCUUAGUAUACAUAAAGUGUUUAACAUGCUCAUUGCCUCUAACAAUUCCAUGAAGCAGACACUUCUGUUAUGCCCAAAUCACAGAUGAGAAAAUUGAGGCACAGAAAGAUUAUGCAAGUUGCUUAAGUUAAAAGUGAAAGCAAGGAUAUAAACCAAGUCUAACUCUAGACCAGGAUCCCAAACACAAUUCUAUCCUGUUAGUCCCUGAAUAUAGACAAAACCCCAAUAACUUUAGCAGUUUGAGUAGUAAGGAUUGACCACUGGCCAGUCAGGGAGUUUCCAGGAACCCCAAAAAGUCCUCCAUGGUAUGGUCUUAUCUUUCAUCAGAGGGAGGUUCUGGUCUUCACCCCUAUAGACUUAGAAAUCCAGUCUGUGAACACACAUAUUGUGAAUUUUUCUCCCAAAGCAUUCAUGCUCCCAGAGCCUGGUAUUCAAAACCAGAACACCAAUGUAUUCAUAAUGAAAAUUAUGAAUAUAAAUAGAAAGAAACAUAAUAACUAAGGGCUAAAACAUUCAUGUCCUGGGGUGCCUGGCUGGCUCCGUGGAUAGAGCAUGCAACACUUGAUCUUGGGGUUGUGAGGCAAAGCCCUACAUUGGGAUUACUUAAAAAAUAAUAAAAUAGAACAAAUAAAACAUUCGUGUCCCAUGACUUGGGAAUCAGAUUGUAAGAGCAUGAAACUUAUGGAACAUGGAACUAGAAAUAAGGAUGUCUGUUUUAUGUGUCAAUGUUUGAUAGAACAAAAUCCAUUAAACUCCAAAGCAGCAAUUUAUCCACUUCCAAAACUGAACAGACCAGUGUAACUUCUCACCUAAAAACACUAGGAUCAACACCACCAGGAUUUGCCUGCUAGAUCCUUUCUUCCUAAAUUUUCAGGGCUGACCUGUGCUAACUCUAUGUUCUUUCUUGAAUUUAGGUUUUUCUUCAGAUUACAGCAUAAUUCUUUUUUACUAAGAUUCUGAACAACUAUAUUUACUAUACUUUGAUGCAUUAUGCAUUGAUUUGAACGUCUAAAUUUAAAAAGGCAACUUGAGUUCCAGGUUCUUGUUGGGGAGUCCUCUCACUGAAGCCACAAAGUACUAACAGCAGCAAUAAGAGACAGACCCCUCCAAUGGAAGCUGCCUUCUCUUCUAUGAAACUUUUGCUAGUUGCCUCUCCAGCUUCAGAAACAGAGACUGUUGCCAGCAAUUUUCACCUAUCUACUAAAAUCUAAAAGGUAACAACCAUUGUUUCUGUAGUUACUGAAGAGACAGACUGGUUGAAGAUUUACACUGCUCUGCAAACUCCCUGGCUGUGCCAGCUCUGGGGGAAUUUAGUGUACAGGGUGUGAAAUGAUUUUUUUUUUCUUGGCUCUUUGCUGUAGGUCCAGGCAGCUACAGCAAAAGCAGGGGUUCCUACUCUCAAGCAGAGCUUUCAGAAUGCCUGGGAGUCUCCUUCUGACAACGAUAUGGAAUGCCUGGAACCAGUGAAAGAGAUUGGAAGCCC
rnacentral:lncRNA from 1 species